UACGGAGGAUGCAAGCGUUAUCCGGAUUUAUUGGGUUUAAAGGGUGCGCAGGUUGUUUGAUAAGUCAGUGGUGAAAGUCUGUCGCUUAACGGUAGGAUUGCCAUUGAUACUGUUGGACUUGAAUAUGGAUGAGGUAGGCGGAAUGUGUAGUGUAGCGGUGAAAUGCAUAGAUAUUACACAGAACACCGAUUGCGCAGGCAGCUUACUAAACCAUAACUGACGCUCAGGCACGAAGGCGUGGGGAUCAAACAGGA
rnacentral:rRNA from 1 species